ACGAGUGGCGGACGGGUGAGUAACACGUAGGUAACCUGCCCAGAAGCGGGGGACAACAUUUGGAAACAGAUGCUAAUACCGCAUAACAGCGUUGUUCGCAUGAACAACGCUUAAAAGAUGGCUUCUCGCUAUCACUUCUGGAUGGACCUGCGGUGCAUUAGCUUGUUGGUGGGGUAACGGCCUACCAAGGCGAUGAUGCAUAGCCGAGUUGAGAGACUGAUCGGCCACAAUGGGACUGAGACACGGCCCAUACUCCUACGGGAGGCAGCAGUAGGGAAUCUUCCACAAUGGGCGCAAGCCUGAUGGAGCAACACCGCGUGAGUGAAGAAGGGUUUCGGCUCGUAAAGCUCUGUUGUUAAAGAAGAACACGUAUGAGAGUAACUGUUCAUACGUUGACGGUAUUUAACCAGAAAGUCACGGCUAACUACGUGCCAGACAGCCGCGGUAAUACGUAGGUGGCAAGCGUUAUCCGGAUUUAUUGGGCGUAAAGAGAGUCCACGCGGUUUUCUAAGUCUGAUGUGCAAAAGCCUUCGGCUUAACCGGAGAAGUGCAUCGGAAACUGGAUAACUCUAGAGUGCCAGAAGAGGGUACGUGGAAACUCCAUGUUGUAGCGGUGGAAUGCGUAGAUAUAUGGAAGAACACCAGUGGGCGAAGGCGGCUACUUGGGUUCUGCAACUGACGCUUGAGACUCGAAAGCAUGGGUAGCGAACAGGAUUAGAUACCCUGGUAGUCCAUGCCGUAAACGAUGAGUGUCUAGGUGUUGGAGGGUUUCCGCCCUUCAGUGCCGGAGCUAACGCAUUAAGCACUCCGCCUGGGGAGUACGACCGCAAGGUUGAAACUCAAAGGAAUUGACGGGGGCCCGCACAAGCGGUGGAGCAUGUGGUUUAAUUCGAAGCUACGCGAAGAACCUUACCAGGUCUUGACAUCUUGCGCCAACCCUAGAGAUAGGGCGUUUCCUUCGGGAACGCAAAGACAGGUGGUGCAUGGUCGUCGUCAGCUCGUGUCGUGAGAUGUUGGGUUAAGUCCCGCAACGAGCGCAACCCUUGUUACUAGUUGCCAGCAUUAAGUUGGGCACUCUAGUGAGACUGCCGGUUACAAACCGGAGGAAGGUGGGGACGACGUCAGAUCAUCAUGCCCCUUAUGACCUGGGCUACACACGUGCUACAAUGGACGGUACAACGAGUCGCGAACUCGCGAGGGCAAGCAAAUCUCUUAAAACCGUUCUCAGUUCGGACUGCAGGCUGCAACUCGCCUGCACGAAGUCGGAAUCGCUAGUAAUCGCGGAUCAGCAUGCCGCGGUGAAUACGUUCCCGGGCCUUGUACACACCGCCCGUCACACCAUGAGAGUUUGUAACACCCAAAGUCGGUGGGGAACCUUUUAGGAGCCAGCCGCCUAAGGUGG
rnacentral:rRNA from 1 species